rnacentral:lncRNA from 1 species
CUAAUUUUUGUAUUUUUAGUAGAGACGGGGUUUCACCAUGUUGGCCAGACUGGUCUCAAACUUCUGACCUCAGCGAUCUGCCCACUUCGGCCUCCCAAAGUGCUGGGAUUACAGGCUGGAUGAACAUCUACUUAUUACAUAAUCUUUUUAAAAACGUCUCUCUUUUUUUUUUUUUUUUUUUUUUGAGACGGAGUUUCACUCUUGUUGCCCAGGCUGGAGAGCAAUGGUGCAAUCUGAGCUCACCGCAACCUCCGCCUCCCAGAUUCAAGUGAUUCUCCUGCCUCAGCCUCCCAAGUAGCUGGGAUUACAGACAUGCGCCACCACGCCUGGCUACUUUUCUAUUUUUAGUAGAGACAGGGUUGGUCAGGCUGGUGUUGGACUCCCAACCUCAGGUAAUCCGCCCACCUCAGCCUCCCAAAGUGCUGGGAUUACAGGUGUGAGCCACAGUGCCCGGCCUUAAAAACUUCUUUUUAAAAAUUAUUUAUGUAUUUGUUUAUUUUUGAGACAGGGUCUUGCUAUGUUGCCCAGGCUGGUGUCAAAUUCCUGGGCUUAAGCAAUCUACCCACCUCAGCCUCCCAAAGUGCUGGGAUUACAGGUGUGAGACACCGCACCCAGCCUAAAAACUUUUUAUCCUGGAGACAGUGUCCACAAACUUAAUCUGGUAUUUCACAAGUUGCUGAGGCAUAGGAAACUCUUUUCUUUCUACAAUAUUUUCAGACCACCAAGCCAUGAGAGGUGACAGCAGUAGCAAAUCUCAUGAGCUCUUCGGUGAGCAGCCAUUUCUUAGUGGAAAGGACUGUAUCUGACCUUCAGUUCUCAGCAGUUACAAAUGUCAAAGGCAGACCUUUUCUCUCCUCCCAGGCUCCCCUCCCACACUCCUGUCCUGCAGCUUCCCUCCCUGUAGAUAAGUGAAUGCUGAUGAGGUGUGACUGGGCCAGGACUGAAGGGUCCCUGGCCCAAAAUAUCUUCCUCUGCCCGGAAGGCUGGGCUUCUCAUCAUCUAUAUCAUACUCUGAGGUCUGGGGAAAGGGGCUUCCCCUUCAAAGCUAGCACUAUAAAUAUGUCUCCAGGUUGUCACCAGGAGUCCCUAGAUAAACCACCCCUCUGGGAGGGGCAUUAACCUUUUAUCUUCUCAACCCAUGUAGGAACUCAGGACUCAGAUGGAGGAUGAGGAGAGGCACCUCCCAGAGGCGCAGGUCAAUCUGACCCGCUUCAUGUUUCGUGGUGUACUUCGUGUUUUCAAGUUGUUGUUGUUGUUUCAGUGACUUAUCAAAAAAACAAAACUCUAAUAUAAAAUAGGAAAAAGUAUAGAUGAUACAAAGUAGCAUAAAUAGUCCUUUAUUCUGAAAGAACUUAGUGAUUUACCGAGAAAAAAUAUGCAUGUUAAAUUUCAAAUAAUGAUACAAUUCUUUUUCUCCUUUCUUUUUUCUUCUUCUUUUUUUUUUUUUAGAUAUGGGGUCUUGCCAUGUUGCCCAGGCUGGACUUGAACUCUUGGCCUCAAGUGAUCCUCCCACUUCAGCCUCCCGAAUCGCCAGGACUACAGGUGCCUGCAAUUGUACCCAGCUCGGGACACAAUUCUUACAUUUUCUUUUCUUUUCUUUAUUUUUUUGAGGCAGAGUCUCGCUCUGUCACCUAAGCUGGAGUGCAGUGGCAUGAUCUCAGCUCAAUGCAACCUCCGCCUGCCAGGUUCAAGCAAUUCUCCCUGUCUCAGCCUCCUGAGUAGCUGGGAUUACAAACGCCCACCACCACACCCGGCUAAUUUUUGUAUUUUUAGUAGAGAUGGGGUUUCGCCAUGUUGGCUAGGCUGGUCUUGAACUCCUGACCUCAGAUGAUCCGCCCGCCUUGGCCUCCGAAGGUGCUGGGAUUGCAGGCAUGAGCCACCGCGCCCGGCCCAAUUCCUACAUUUUGAAAGCAUUUUACGUUUUCAUAUCCAUCAUCUUCUUAGAGAUAACAUCUCCUUCAGCUGAGCCCAGUAUUAACCUUCGCAUGACCCCAUUACCUGCCGUGUCUGUGCCUGAUCAGACCCAACUCCUUGAGGCCAGAGACUUCUUGCUGCUUCUUCAACACCAAGUGCAAAAGGCGCCCAAAAAAUGACAGGUGGGGAACCAAAGACCUCUGAUAUUUUGUGAGGAUGCAGGACAAUGUUGUUAGAGCUUCUAUUUUUGUGUUUUAGUUUUUCAAGAGAAAUUUUAAAAUAUCCAGGUUUUAAAAUACGUAUUGACAAGUUAUUUAAAAAAAAAAAAUGUGCCUUUAGGUUGGGCCCAGUGGCUCACACAUGUAAUCCCGGCAUUUUAGGAGCCCAAGGAAGGAGGAUUUCUUGAGCCCAGGAGUUUGAAACUAGCCUGUCUUAAAAACAAAAAACAAACAAACAAAAACCUUUAAAACACUGAGUAGACCCAACAAAAUACAACGCGUCAGUAAAUAGAAAGUAAAAAUAUAGGCCGGGAGCAGUGGCUCAUGUCUGUAAUCCCAGCACUUUGGGAGGCUGAGGCGGACGGAUCAUGAGGUCAGGAGUUCGAGACCAGCCUGGCCAACAUGGUGAAACCCCAUCUCUACUAAAGAUACAAAAAAUUAGCCAGGCGUGGUGGCUCGUGCCUGCAAUCCCACCUACUCAGGAGGCUGAGGCAGGAGAAUGGCUUGAACCCAGGAGGCAGAGGUUGCAGUGAGCUGAGAUGGCGCCAUUGCACUCCAGCCUGGGUGACAGGACAAGACUCCUUCUCAAAAAAAAAAAAGUAAAAUAUAAAAAUAGCAGUGACCAUUUAUUGUCUACUCUAUGCCAGCCAUUUUACAUAUUUUAUUUAUUUAUGUGUUUAUUUUUUGAGACGAGGUCUCUCUCUGUCGCAGGGGCUGGAGUGCAGUGGCACGAUCAUAGUUCACUGCAGCCUCAAACUCCUGGGCUCAAGCAAUCCUCCCCGCUCAGCCUCCUGAGUAGCUAGGACUACAGGCUUUCACCACCAUGCCCAGCUUACAUAUAUUAUUUAUAAUAAAUAAUAGCCAGGCGCGGUGGCUCACGCCUAUAAUCCCAGAACUUUGGGAGGCCGAGGCAGGAGGAUCACUUGAGGUCGGGAGUUGGAGGCUAGCCUGACUAACAUGGAGAAAUCCCGUCUCUACUAAAAAAUAUAAAAUAAGCCAGGCAUGGUGGCGCAUGCCUCUAAUCCCAGCUACUUGGGAGGCUGAGGCAGGAGAAUCACUUGAACCUGGGAGGCGGAGGUUGCAGUGAGCCGAGAUCGCGCCACUGCACUCCAGCCUGGGCAACAAGAGUGAAACUCCAUCUCAAAAAAAAAAAGAAAAAAAAAAGAUAAAACUAAUAGAUGGAUUGCUCUUGUGGUUAAAAAAAUUCACAAAAAUAACAUUACAUAGCUGGGUGCGGUGGCUCACGCCUGUAAUCCCAGCACUUUGGGAGGCCGAGGCGGACGGAUCACGAGGUCAGGAGAUCGAGACCAUUCUGGCUAACACGAUGAAACCCCGUCUCUACUAAAAAUACAAAAAAUUAGCCGGGCGUGGUGGCAGACGCCUGUAGUCCCAGCUACUCAGGAGGCUAGGGCAGGAGAAUGGCGUGAA